rnacentral:misc_RNA from 1 species
AUGGCACAGGUGGACGUGUCGACGGCGACACGGACAAGACCAUGUCCACACAUGAGCAAUCACGGAUUGGUGUGUCCCGCGGGCUCCUUGCCUCUCGCAAUCAACCACUAAAGAGGCCAUCCUUCUUAGUCCUGUGCUCAUUCRUAUCUUUAGGCCAUCCUUUUUAGUCCAGUGCGUUGCGUGUGCCAUCUACCCGGCUCUGCAGGAAGUCAACGUACCCUAUGUGCUAGUUCACCUCCCCACCUCGAGCGGGAGGCACAACCACAAUGUGGUCGUUGCGCRCACCUUAACGACACAACCCUUGGGCCCCGUGCUAGCUGRGCUCCUAAAGUAUCCCAAGCUCUCGCAAAUGCGACAGGCUUCGGGGACUUCGGCCCUCGGCCCGRACCUUGGUCGGUCAUUAAGCCACCCUCGUCGAGACAACGAUCGAUCCACCGAUAGGCCCCCUCCGCUCCCUGCAGGCGGUCGGGCGCCUUGACAGCACCSGCAUCG